UUGAAGGAAUUUCUCCGUUUUUUAGUUUUACAGGUAUUUGUACCGUAUUUUCCAUUUUACGCAUUGCAUUAUGGGAACAAGAACCUUCGCGAAGCGCGAAAACUGGUCAAACGACAUUUGAAGCUCGCUAACCGGACCCUGGAGCAUAUAUCUUUUGGACUUUGGUUGGAUUAAGAGACGGAGUUACCUUUCUGCCACUCCCUGCUGCAUCCAGACACUCCUGAACUUUUCCUGGAAAGCAACACUAGGCAUCUUUAAAAUAGGCGAGCAGACCGCAGACUUCCUGGAAGGAGAAGAUUCAGAGCAGAGGGAGAGGAGCAACGAGCUGCAGGCAGGCAGGGCGGGACAGGAGGGAAGCAGGUCGACGACUUAACCGUUUAGAGGAAAACGAGCAUCGGGAAAUGUUUCAAGUUUACCCUUCAGCUGCAAAAUGCUUUUGCAACAUCUCUGUUCCAGUUCCUCGUGUUGUGCCAUUUAUCCAGAAAUCAGUUUAUCUCUCUGUCGGGCUCAAAUGUAGUUAAGGCAACAUGUUUGCAGGAUGACUUCUAGGUGGGAAUGCGGCGUCUGAACUGAACUGGGAAUAAAAAGCGAGUCUCAAGAGCGGGCCAGGGCCAAUAAAAUAAGAUGGCGGCGCGUUGCCCUGCAGCCUCGUGUGAUCUGCGAACAAGCAGCAGCGACUAACCUGCACUUUGUGUUUGAGGCGAAGUUUUAUUGUGGCAUUUGUUGUGAGGAACAUUAGCUAGCAGCAGACUAAACAGAUUUGUUGGCAGACUCAGUAGUUUGUGGUGGACUUUGUUUAAACAGCUGCAGAAAUAAACACCAUGUGAUUAUUAAAGCAGGAAGGAGGCUGUGCCACGUAUUAAUGGGCAUCGGGUCGGUUUUCAUCCAUGUGGACACUGAGGCGGGACGAACACGCUGCUAGUUUAGGUCAUUAGGGUCACGAGGCAGAUGUGGUUAAUCUGCAGGGACGGUAAAAGACAGAAACAAGAAGUUAUCGGGGCAAUUAAUCAAAGGAGGGAUUAUUAAUCUUUAUAACCUUGUAAAAGAAAAUACAUUAGUGGAGUAAUAAGAGGAGUGGAGUCUACUUUAUGUUAGCCGGCUAACUGUUCCAGUCGUAACCAAACAGAUGAACCACAUUGACUGCUGUAAAAAAAACAUUUUAAAUUGUCCAUAAUCUCGACCGUGCAAACUCAUUUUUGCCAUGAAAGAAAAAAGUCCAACAGAAAGUCAUAAUUUUGACUUUUGAUUUCAGA